rnacentral:rRNA from 1 species
AUGUCACCCUUGUACUGCCACGGGAAACCAAGGCCUCUCCUCGUCCUCCUCGCGGUCACCCUCACACUACUCGCCGCCGCAGCCACGGCCGACGAUGUCUCCUCCGGCACGGCCCCCUUCUACCCCUCCGCGGAGGCGGCCGCGGCGGCGCACUGCGACGGCACGCUGUACCCGGAGCUCUGCCUGUCGACUCUCGCUGACAUCCCGGACCUCCACAAGAAGCCGCUCCCGGACGUCAUCUGCGCGGCCGUGAACCGCACCGAGACCGAGGUGACCACCAUGUCCGCCAACUGCUCCGCCUACCUCCACGGGAGGUCCCUCACCUCGCGCGACCACCUAGCCGUCAUGGACUGCAUGGAGCUCCUCGACACCACCAUGGACGAGCUCGUGGCCACCACGGCCGACCUGCAGUCGCCGUCCGCGGCGAGGCGGCCGACCAUGGAGCACGCCGUGACGGUGCUCUCGGCGGCCAUCACCAACCAGCAGACCUGCCUGGAGGGCUUCUCGUACCAGAAGGGUGGGGAGGUGCGGCGCUACAUGGAGCCCGGCAUCCGCCACAUCGCGCGGAUGGUCAGCAACUCGCUGGCCAUGGCCAAGAAGAUGCCCGGUGCCGGGACUGGCGGUUCAAAGCCUUCACCGUCGACGGAGGAAACGGAGAGCGUCGCGCGGCAGCCGUUCACGGGGUACGGGCAGGUGGUGAAGGGGGGCUUCCCGCGGUGGGUGAGGCCCGGGGACCGGCGGCUGCUGCAGGCGCCGGCGUCGGGCAUCACGGCGAACGCGGUGGUGGCCAAGGACGGGAGCGGGGGGUUCACGACGGUGUCGGCCGCGGUGGCCGCGGCGCCGACCAACUCGAAGAGCAGGUACGUGAUCUACAUCAAGGCCGGGGCGUACAUGGAGAACGUGGAGGUGGGGAAGAGCCACAAGAACCUCAUGUUCAUCGGCGACGGCAUGGGCAAGACGGUGAUCAAGGCCAGCCUCAACGUCGUCGACGGCUCCACCACCUUCCGCUCCGCCACAGUCGCUGUGGUGGGCAGCAACUUCCUGGCCCGCGACCUGACCAUCGAGAACGCGGCGGGCCCGUCCAAGCACCAGGCGGUGGCGCUCCGCGUCGGCGCCGACCUCUCGGCCUUCUACCGGUGCAGCUUCGUGGGCUACCAGGACACCCUCUACGUGCACUCGCUCCGGCAGUUCUUCCGCGAGUGCGACAUCUACGGCACCAUCGACUUCGUCUUCGGCAACUCCGCCGCCGUGCUCCAGAGCUGCAACCUCUACGCGCGUCGGCCCCUCCCCAACCAGAGCAACAUCUACACGGCGCAGGGCCGGACCGACCCCAACCAGAACACCGGCAUCUCCGUCCAGAAGUGCAAGGUGGCCGCCGCCUCCGACCUCGCCGCCGUGCAGUCCAGCUUCAGGACCUACCUCGGCCGACCGUGGAAGCAGUACUCGCGCACCGUGUUCAUUCAGUCGGAGCUCGACAGCGUCGUCGACCCCGCCGGCUGGCUCGCGUGGGACGGCACCUUCGCGCUUGACACGCUCUACUACGCCGAGUACCAGAACACGGGGCCCGGCGCCGGCACGUCCGGCCGGGUGUCGUGGAUGGGGUACCGCGGCGUCAUUAGCGCGUCCGAGGCCAGCACCUUCACCGUGGGGUCCUUCAUCGACGGCGACGUCUGGCUCGCCGGCACGUCCAUCCCGUUCUCCGGCGGGUUGUGA